GGUUAAAAAGCUCGUAGUUGGAUUUCUGUCGGUGAGGUUCAGUCCGCCCAAGUGGUUGGUACGUGAUCCGCCACCGGCAUCUUCCUGGGGAAUGUGUCUGCUCUUAAUUGGGUGGUACAUAAGCCAGGACUUUUACUUUGAAGAAAUGAGAGUGCUUCAAGCAGGCAUGCGCCGUGAAUACGUUAGCAUGGGAUAAUAGCAUCGGACCUCGUUCCAAAGCUGUUGGUUUCUUGGACCGAGGUAGAGGUGAAUAGGGAUUGUUGGGGGCAUACGUAUUUGACUGUCAGAGGUGAAAUUCUUGGAUUUGUUGAAGACGGACUACUGCGAAAGCAUCUGCCAAAGAUGUUCUCAUUGAUCAAGAACGAAAGUUAGGUGAUCGAAGACGAUCAGAUACCGUCCUAGUCUUAACCAUAAACUAUGCCGACUGGAGAUCGGGGGUCGUUAAUUAUGUGACGCC
rnacentral:rRNA from 1 species